CCUGUGGUGGGGGGUUGCAGGGCUUGGGGGGUUCCCGGCCGGACACGCUGUGACAGCGGCCACUGGGGACCCUCAGGGGAGAGCUGCUACCUCAGAUAGAAAACUAUAUUCCUUCAACUUCCGGGAGGGGAGGAAUCGGAGCAGCUCUCUCUUCUCCCCUGCAGUGGCUGGCAUUGGAAUAACGACGCGCCUGGCUGUUUCUGAUUCAAGUCCAACUCCAAGAUUUGUUUCUUCCAACUCCUCAGGCUAGGUACAUGGCCGGUGUUCAAUUCAUACCUGUUGAUUAACUGAAUUGUAAUUGAUGCUUUGCCUUUAAUAAGGAACCUGGAGACCUUGUAGGCAUUUUCCUUUGGUGUUUUACAUGAGAAUGUGUCUGGCCUUGUAUUUGGAAUAAGCAUCCCCGCUGGAUAUAGACUCUGAGGCAUGUGGUGAGGACACGAUUUCUUGCCCCCGAAAGCGUAUUGUGUGAAAUAAGACAAGAUGAAUGGAUCAAAAUCCUAACCCCCACUUCCCAUCUUCCUCCUAUCCUGGAAGUGCUUUUUUUUUUUUUUUUUUUUAAAUCUUUCUUGAUUGGGUAUUAUCCAGUUCUUCUUUGAAGACGUUCAAUCAAUUUACAUUCCACUCACAGCAUGAAAGAGUUGCUGUUCCAGAGCUGUAUUGCUGGGUGCCGUCUCCUGAUGUCUUCUAUAGGAUAUUUGCUUCUGUUUUCGCAAGAGACAUUAACCUUUUCUUUACCCUGGCCUGAUUUGGGGGAUGAAGAAGCCAAUCUGUGAAUCUAGGAUGGGGAUGUAAUGGUAACCGUAGGAUAAUCAAGCUGUUUGCUUCUCAUUGACACCAGAAGCUGGGAACACAGUGAAAAGGGCACAAUGAAGAGGUGGUGAUGGGGUGCUGGCAUGGAAUAAAGAGAUGAAGAAAAGAAAGUUCCAAG